rnacentral:rRNA from 1 species
UAGGGAAUCUUCCACCAAUGGGCGAAAGCCUGAUGGAGCAACGCCGCGUGAGUGAAGAAGGUUUUCGGAUCGUAAAGCUCUGUUGUUGGUGAAGAAGGAUAGAGGUAGUAACUGGCCCC